UUGUGCCUCCUGAUUGCUGAGUGUUCACCUGGACCUUCUGACUACCUUCCUUGUGCUAUUCCAUCAGCCUACAGACCCUACAGACCCUACAGACCUGGUACCUGGAUUUAUGCUGAAGAUGAUUCUUACCACCUUACUACUGAAGAAGACACCCAUUCCAUUGGACCACUGUGACUCAGGAGGCAUUCAGCCAUCAUGAUGUGGCCUUUACCUCCACUCCUGUUCUGUUCUACCCAGAUUCAGCACAGCCCUUUA
rnacentral:lncRNA from 1 species